GACGAACGCUGGCGGCGGGCUUAACACAUGCAAGUCGAACGGAAAGGCCCUGCUUUUUUGGGGUGCUCGAGUGGCGAACGGGUGAGUAACACGUGAGUAACCUGCCCUUGACUUUGGGAUAACUUCAGGAAACUGGGGCUAAUACCGUAUAGGAGCUCCUGCUGCAGGGUGGGGGUUGGAAAGUUUCGGCGGGUGGGGAUGGACUCGCGGCUGAUCAGCUUGUUGGUUGGGUAGUGGCUUACCAAGGCUUUGGCGGGUAGCCGGCCUGAGAGGGUGACCGGGCACCUUGGGACUGCGAUACGGCCCAGAGUCCUACGGGAGGCAGCAGUGGGGAAUAUUGCCCAAUGGGCGGAAGCCGGAUGCAGCAACGCCGCGUGCGGGAUGACGGCCUUUGGGUUGUAAACCGCUUUAGCCUGUGACGACGCGUGAGUGACGGUAAUGGGUAAAGAAGCACCGGCUAACUACGUG
rnacentral:rRNA from 1 species